rnacentral:rRNA from 1 species
GACAGAGGAUGCAAGCGUUAUCCGGAAUGAUUGGGCGUAAAGCGUCUGUAGGUGGCUUUUCAAGUCCGCCGUCAAAUCCCAGGGCUCAACCCUGGACAGGCGGUGGAAACUACCAAGCUGGAGUACGGUAGGGGCAGAGGGAAUUUCCGGUGGAGCGGUGAAAUGCAUUGAGAUCGGAAAGAACACCAACGGUGAAAGCACUCUGCUGGGCCGACACUGACACUGAGACGCGAAAGCGUGGGGAGCAAACAGG